UCAUAUCACGUUGAAACACCGAUUCUCGUACGAUCGAAGGAGUUAAGCAACGUUAAGCCUGGUCAGUACCUAGAUGGGUGACCCCUUGGGAAUACUAGGCGCUGUAAG